CCCUUAGAUGUCCUGGGCCGCACGCGCGCUACACUGACAUGUUCAACAAGCCUCCUAGUUCGACAGGAUUUGGGAAAUCUUUGAACGCAUGUCGUGAUAGGGAUAGAUCAUUGCAAUUAUUGAUCUUGAACGAGGAAUUCCUAGUAAACGCGAGUCAUCAGCUCGCAUUGAUUACGUCCCUGCCCUUCGUACACACCGCCCGUCGCACCUACCGAUUGAAUGUUUCGGUGAAGAUUCCGGAUAGGACUUUUUUGAUUUAUUUCAAUUUUGUCUUAAAAGCUAUCUAAACCUCAACAUUUAGAGGAAGGUGAAGUCGUAACA
rnacentral:rRNA from 1 species